AGCUUUGCUCAGUGGCAGUAUCGGAGCCAAUGAGGUUUAUCCGAGGCAAGGUUAUUGCUAAUUGAAAACUUUUCCCAAUACCCUGCCAUGACAACUUGAAAUACAGUCGGCACUGGCAAUUUUUCACAGUAUACCGAGACUGAUUAAAAACAAAAAUA
rnacentral:snRNA from 1 species